AUUAUCAAAAGGAUAACAAUUAUCGUAUUCUUAUCACUCAACUAGCAUGUUGUGAAUCACCAAUUUCGUUAGCUAAUUAAAACGUAACAUUGUCGUUUGUGACAAGAUAUGAAGAAAACAAAGUUGAUAUAAUGUAAAAGAAUGAGACACGUCACCAUCGGUUCAACAGUUGCGAUCGAGUUCGCUUGUUCCUCGGGCAGUAAACGUUUCACAGCAUGGCUCAUAAGAAUUGCAAGAAAGAAAGGAUGAUCGUAUUAAAUUCAUCCACUCACAACGGAUCUUGAAUACUCUCCAGCACUCUGACACUGCUCCGGACACCAUUAUAAAAUGCGAUUCUCACGAAUGAAAAAACUUUUGUUAUCGAUAAAAAAAGGAUACACUGUUGAAAUAUAUCACCAAAACACAAAUUCAUUGAAAUAACACUUUUAAAUUUGUCGGACGUAAAAGAAACAGAACACACAGAGUCUAAAUAUGCAAGUAGCCAAACGUUGCAAUGUUGCACAGAAAAAUAGUAGAAGUAACACUCGGUAACUUUUAAACACCAUGAAACACUAUAUAAACACAUUAUUCUUCAUAAUCUUAAAAAUACAGUUCAAAUAAAGAUAGAACUGCAAGAGAAAUAGGAAAAAUAUAUGUGCCCAGAAGGCUGAAGAAUAUGAAGUAAAUAAAUUACCACGCUACGAACAAAACGAAUCGAUGGAUCGACCAACCGAUUAGAACGUACUUUAAAUGUUGCAGAUGAACAUUACAAUCGACGAACACAGACGGCACAUAUGUAUCGUAUAUAUGGAAUCAUUUUCAGUUAUAAUGCUAUGAGAAUACAUGGUUUCACUUCGUAAUUCCACCGUAUAGCUGUUAGGUUUGCAUAUAAAUGCAGAUGUAUUCAUUUUCUCUCUUUUUCUAUUACCCCGUUUAUUUUAUCCGAAGAAAAACAAAAUAAAUGUAAAGGGAGUACGAAAAAAGGAUAGAUAGAGAAGGAAAGAAAAGGAUAAAAUAUAUUUUAUGAUAUAAAUUAAUAAUAUAUGUUGAUUCGAAUAUAUACAUGAACGGAAAGGAUAAAUUAUAUACAUUUACGCAUAUUCUUCAAAGAAAGGAAGAUAAAAGAAAAGGAUAGUAUGUACAGUAUAGAAUGUGUAUGUGUGUGCGCGCGCAUGCAUAUAUAUGUAUGUGUAUAUGAAUGUGCAUGUAUAUGCACGAGAGAAAAAAAGAAAGAAAGAAAGAAACAGAACCUAAAGGAAUAUGUUUAGGAGUUUAACACGACCGGGAACGUAUCGGUUAGUUUCACCACACAUUUCUCUUCUCUUACCCGAACUAGUCUAUGAUAUAUUCCAGUGCGGUGGCUGCGAUGAUUAAAAAACACUCGCGUCUUACAUUCGCGCCCUAACGAGAAGGGUAGUCAAAAUCGUACGGUCAGUCCAACGUUUUCAGGGCCGCCAGGUUAACGUCACGAAAUCCACCGACACAACCAUAGAUCCAAACGGUGGACGGACGGACGUAAGGACGGACGGCUGGCUGGCAGCAGGCAAGGCGGAAUCAGAGAGAGGAUCGGGGGGAGGGACUGAAUGUAGCGGGGUGAGGGUAAAGUUUCUGGGUACGGGGCAGGUGGGGUCAUAAGAGACCGGGGACGUAUGAGUUGGAGUGGGGUGAAAACGAACGAGAACGAGCGAGCAACCGAACCGACCGACGACGUAGCGUCGCGGGGGACGGAGGUCUACACAGCUCAGGACCGUUUAUUCUUGGUUCCUACGGCGCCACCGUUUAUCAUCUAACAAACAUUUUUUCAUUUUUUAUUAUUAUUUUCAUAUUUAUUAUUAUAUAUAUAUCAAAUUUUAAAUCAUUUAUAUAAUAUACUUAGAAUUUUUAACAUCAUAAAUUAAUAAAAAAUGUAAAACGUUAAUUUGCAUGUAACGGGAUGAAGAGAGAUAUACAUAUACAACCCUAAAGAUCUCCGCGACUUAAAGGUGAUAGUUUAAGAAUAAAAUGUGAUAUAUACAUUAA